AGCAGGUUGGGCAACCAUCACAAUGACCUAAUUUUAGAACAUUCCAUCACUCUCCACCUCUGUCUCUGUUUGUUCCUGCCUCUCUCCAGCCCAGGAAGCCACUGAUCUCCUUUCUGUCUCUAAAGGGAUUCUAGCUUUGACUUAAUGUAUUAAGCAAAGUCCAGGAUUUAAUCAAGGAAAGGAGGCCAUCAGGAAAAUGAAAAUCAACUACACAGUUUUGCAGAAAUCAGACCUGUGGAAACAGGACUGCUCCAGGGACUAUCUUGAGCCAGCAAACAGAACUGUGAAGACAAGUAAGGAGCCCCAACCCUGAGAACACCUUACAGCAGGACUGAAACCACCAUCACUGACCUAAGGGGGUGAGGAUGACAGAAAUUGGAAGACACUGGUGUAACGUGAGAACCGAGGAGACCGCAGAGUUGACAAUAUCUCCUCAUACACUGCUGACUGGCUGUCUUGACUUUCUUCGGUGGAAUAUCAUAUAUCCUAUAAAUAAUCACAGAUUUGUCAUUUUCUUCCCAAUAGUUAUAUGUCCCAUUUCUUUAUUUUUAAAAUCAUGUUAUCUAGGCACUUCAGUAAAAUUUUAAAUGAUUAUGAUUAAGAUAAGCAAACUUAUCUAGCUUAAAUGGAAAUGAUUGUUUUAGCAUUAAGCAUGGUGCUUAUUAUGUGUUGUAGUAG
rnacentral:lncRNA from 1 species